rnacentral:rRNA from 1 species
UUUCUUCGGAAUGAAGUUUUUGUGACUGAGUGGCGGACGGGUGAGUAACGCGUGAGUAACCUGCCUUCAAAGGGGGAUAACAUUCUGAAAAGAAUGCUAAUACCGCAUGACAUAUCGGAACCACAUGGUUUUGAUAUCAAAGAUUUUAUCGCUUGAAGAUGGACUCGCGUCCGAUUAGUUAGUUGGUGAGGUAACGGCUCACCAAGACCGCGAUCGGUAGCCGGACUGAGAGGUUGAACGGCCACAUUGGGACUGAGACACGGCCCAGACUCC